UGCCCCACCCACAGAUACCUAGUUGUGGGAGAAGCUAGCCAUGUUAUGAAAACACUCAAGCAGCCCUAUGGAGAGAUCCACGUGACAGAGAACUGAGACAUUCUGCUAACAGCCAAUGCACAGCUGCGACUGUGAAAGAAGCUACAAAUAACAUGCUGGGAAUUCAGCAGACAAUGGAGAAUCAUCAGAAGAUAUCUGAUCAAAGGAAGAUGAAUGCAAGCUUUUGGAGUAGAAAUGAAGAGGAGGAAGAACAAGUUAGGUUUUAGGCUGGCAAA
rnacentral:lncRNA from 10 species